rnacentral:lncRNA from 1 species
UGAUGCAAGGUCCCAUUGCGUGGUGCCACCCGAACAAGCUCACUGGCGUGAUCCGAUGCUGAUGCUGUCGGCUGUUUGUGUAUGACUUUGACAGGCGUUUGAAGGGUUGGUCGUCCUUCCUUCCGCUCGAGCGGUUUGAGCGCAAUGUUUCCGAUGUUUUAUCAGUCUUUGCUGACGAUCGUGAGCAGCGGAGCGUUAUAUCGACCAUCUAAUAGUAUUAGCCUGGGUUGGGCGUAAACUGCCCAUUUACCAGCUAGCCGGGCAGCUAACUCAGCUAGCGAACGCAUCAACGGACUGUCCUGGAAAAUGAUCGGAUUAAUUCAGCCUUCAGCCACAUCCGUUUGUCUCAUAAAGUGAAAUGGCAUGUGAUGAUAAUUCUACAUUUAUGAGGGCCAAGCUGACUGAAGUGUCAAGAGGACAGCUUACCCAGCAUUGAGGGCUGUUGUCUAUUUUCAGUUCUGGAUUUCCUGUUAGAUUUAUCCACAGUAUCAUAUUUCUGUGUUGAGAAGAAGACUGAGCAGGAUGACUGGAACUGAAGCUUCACAGACACGACUGUUCAUUCACUGCGUGUCACCUUGCUGUCGUACCACUCCCACAUCUGGAGGAUACUGUUUCUGAACUAAUUAAGGUCAGGGUUUG